rnacentral:rRNA from 1 species
AUUGAACGCUGGCGGCAGGCCUAACACAUGCAAGUCGAGCGGCAGCGGGACCUUCGGGUUGCCGGCGAGCGGCGGACGGGUGAGUAAUGCCUAGGAAUCUGCCUGCUAGUGGGGGAUAACGCGGGGAAACUCGCGCUAAUACCGCAUACGUCCUACGGGAGAAAGCGGGGGCUCUGCGGACCUCGCGCUAACAGAUGAGCCUAGGUCGGAUUGGCUAGUUGGUGGGGCAAUGGCCCACCAAGGGGACGAUCCGUAACUGGUCUGAGAGGAGGUACAGUAACACUGGAGAUGAGACACGGUCCAGACUCCUACGGGAGGCAGCAGUGGGGAAUAUUGGACAAUGGGCGAAAGCCUGAUCCAGCCAUGCCGCGUGUGUGAAGAAGGUCUUCGGAUUGUAAAGCACUUUAAGUCGGGAGGAAGGGCUGUAGGCUAAUACCUUGCAGUUUUGACGUUACCGACAGAAGAAGCACCGGCUAACUUCGUGCCAGCAGCCGCGGUAAAAC